rnacentral:rRNA from 1 species
GACGAACGCUGGCGGCGUGCUUAACACAUGCAAGUCGAACGGAAAGGCCCUGCUUUUGUGGGGUGCUCGAGUGGCGAACGGGUGAGUAACACGUGAGUAACCUGCCCUUGACUUUGGGAUAACUUCAGGAAACUGGGGCUAAUACCUGAUAGGAGCUCCUGCUGCAUGGUGUGGGUUGGAAAGUUUCGGCGGUUGGGGAUGGACUCGCGGCUUAUCAGCUUGUUGGUGGGGUAGUGGCUUACCAAGGCUUUGACGGGUAGCCGGCCUGAGAGGGUGACCGGCCACAUUGGGACUGAGAUACGGACCAGAAUGCUACGGGAGGCAGCAGUGGGGAAUAUUGCACAAUGGGCGGAAGCCUGAUGCAGCAACGCCGCGUGCGGGAUGACGGCCUUCGGGUUGUAAACCGCUUUCGACUGUGACGAAGCGUGCGUGACGGUAAUGGGUAAAGAAGCACCGGCUAACUACGUG